CCCUUAGAUGUCCUGGGCCGCACGCGCGCUACACUGAGUGUCUGAGAUACGAGUCUGCCUGGUCCGGCAAGGUCUAGGUAAUCGCUAAAAGACACAUCAUGCUUGGGAUAGAUUAUUGCAAAUAUUAAUCUUGAACGAGGAAUUCCUAGUAAGCGCAAGUCAACAGCUUGCGUUGAUUACGUCCCUGCCCUUUGUGCACACCGCCCGUCGCUACUACUGAUUGGAUGUUUAAGCGAGGUUCUCGAACUGCUAGCGACUUAGCUUCGGUGAGGUCGCAGUGUGGGAAGUGAGCCUAGCUUUGGUGUCUAGAGGAAGUAAAAGUCGUAACA
rnacentral:rRNA from 1 species